AACGAACGCUGGCGGCAGGCUUAACACAUGCAAGUCGAGCGCCCCGCAAGGGGAGCGGCAGACGGGUGAGUAACGCGUGGGAACGUACCUUUUGGUUCGGAACAACUCCGGGAAACUGGAGCUAAUACCGGAUAAGCCCUAACGGGGAAAGAUUUAUCGCCGAAAGAUCGGCCCGCGUCUGAUUAGCUAGUUGGUGAGGUAACGGCUCACCAAGGCGACGAUAAGUAGCUGGUCUGAGAGGAUGAUCAGCCACACUGGGGCUGAGACACGGUCCAGACUCCUACGGGAGGCAGCAGUGGGGGAUAUUGGACAAUGGGCGCAAGCCUGAUCCACCCAUGCCGCGUGAGUGAUGAAGGCCUUAGGGUUGUAAAGCUCUUUUGUCCGUGAAGAUAAUGACUGUACCGGAAGAAUAAGCCCCGGCUAACUUCGUG
rnacentral:rRNA from 1 species